ensembl:lncRNA
GGCUGGGUGUAGUCAUGUUAUAGAUGGUGGUGUAGAUGAGGCUGGGUGUAGUCAUGUUAUAGAUGGUGGUGUAGAUGAGGCUGGGUGUAGUCAUGUUAUAGAUGGUGGUGUAGAUGAGGCUGGGUGUAGUCAUGUUAUAGAUGGUGGUGUAGAUGAGGCUGGGUGUAGUCAUGUUAUAGAUGGUGGUGUAGAUGAGGCUGUGUCUAGUCAGGUUAUAGAUGGUGGUGUAGAUGAGGCUGUGUCUAGUCAGGUUAUAGAUGGUGGUGUAGAUGAGGCUGGGUGUAGUCAUGUUAUAGAUGGUGGUGUAGAUGAGGCUGGGUCUAGUCAUGUUACUUCCGGUGCCGACAGAGAUGGCCGCCUCGC